AAGACCCUUCACCUCUUCUUCUUUACAUUUCUAAAUCAUCCUCCUCCCCAACACCAUGCCCAAACUUCCACUGCGACCCCUCUCUCUCCUCCUCCUCUUCAUCGCCACAAUCAAUGCCGCCGCCUGCUGCAGUAAUUCUCAAAAAUUCAAGGAAGCUCCACAAUUCUACAACUCUCCAAACUGCGCCUACCUCUCCUCCAACGACAUGUGCUCUCAAGAAGCUGUCCACGUGGCCAUGAAUCUUGACUUUCCUUACCUCCGCGGCACCAUGGCAGCCAUUCACUCUAUCCUCCAACACUCUUCGUGCCCGGAAAAUCUCCGGUUCAACUUCAUUUCUUCCCCUUCCUCCACCUCUCUCCACCACGCCAUCAACUCAUCCUUCCCUUACCUCCGCUCCCAUAUCUACACCUUCCACACCUCAUCCGUCUCCGGCCUCAUCUCCACCUCCAUCCGCGCCGCUCUCGACUCUCCUCUCAACUACGCCCGCAAUUACCUCGCCGAUCUCCUCCCUCCUUGCGUCAAAAAAGUCGUAUACUUAGACUCCGAUAUAAUUCUAGUAGACGACAUUUCGGUGUUAGCUGCCUCACCACUCGUCGAAGCCGCAGUCUUGGCAGCGCCAGAGUACUGCAACGCUAACUUCACCGCUUACUUCACUCCUACGUUCUGGUCGAAUCCAUCUCUGUCGCUAACGUUCGCGGGACGCAAUGCGUGUUAUUUUAACACGGGAGUGAUGGUAAUCGAUUUGGAAAGAUGGAGACAAGGAGAUUACACGAAAAAGAUCGUUGAAUGGAUGGAAUUACAGAAGAGGAUAAGGAUCUACGUGCUGGGUUCGCUGCCUCCAUUCUUGCUGGUUUUUGCAGGGAAUAUUUCGCCUGUGGAUCACCGGUGGAACCAGCAUGGGCUUGGAGGGGACAACUUUCGAGGGCUUUGCAGAGACUUGCAUCCUGGACCCGUUAGCCUCUUGCAUUGGAGCGGCAAAGGGAAACCAUGGGCUCGCCUCGACUCCAACCGGCCAUGCCCUUUGGAUGCUCUCUGGGCUCCUUAUGAUCUGUUGCAGACAAAUUUCGAUCUCGAUUCUUGAAGAGAGUUUAGAGAAUGGUAUAAUUCAUUCCAUAAAAUAAUGCAGAUUAUAUAUUUUUAUAUAAUUUUUUUUUGAAGAUAAAAAGUUUUGGAGUGUUUAAUGAAGUAAUGCAGCAGAGGAAAUCAUAUAGAGCCAUUAACAGGCUUCAGAGCUUGCUUAAUUUCUCUAAUAUAGGGAAUUGUAUGGAGGAAGAGUUUAUUCAAUUUUAUUUUGUCUUAUAUCUAAAUAUAAUUAUGUUUUGCAGGCUUGGUUUUUU
rnacentral:misc_RNA from 1 species